rnacentral:rRNA from 1 species
GUAGGUGGCAAGCGUUGUCCGGAAUUAUUGGGCGUAAAGCGCGCGCAGGCGGUUCUUUAAGUCUGAUGUGAAAGCCCACGGGCUCAACCGUGGAGGGUCAUUGGAAACUGGAGAACUUGAGUACAGAAGAGGGAAGCGGAAUUCCACGUGGAGCGGUGAAAUGCGUAGAGAUGUGGAGGAACACCAGUGGCGAAGGCGGCUUUCUGGUCUGUAACUGACGCUGAGGCGCGAAAGCGUGGGGAGCAAACAGGAUUAGAUACCCUGGUAGUCCACGCCGUAAACGAUGAGUGCUAAGUGUUAGGGGGUUUCCGCCCCUUAGUGCUGCAGCUAACGCAUUAAGCACUCCGCCUGGGGAGUACGGCCGCAAAGGCUG